GGAGGGUUGGCAGAGCGGACAAAUGCGCUGGUCUUGAAAACCAGAGCCUCACGGCUUCGUGGGUUCGAAUCCCACACCCUCCG
rnacentral:tRNA from 1 species